CCGCCUGGAGGUAAUAGGGCUGCACUGGAAGUCCUCUGCAUGCCUCCCGUCCAGGCGAACAUGGUGGUGGACUCGAAUGGAACUGUUAUUUUUAGAUACUUUAAAUACCCCAGCGCUGAGGCCUUUGGACUCAAGCUGAAACCACAUUAUUAGCUCUCCUGAGUCUCCAGCUUGCUAACUCAUCCUGCAGAUGUUGAGACUGAACAGUCUCUAUAAUCCUGGGGACUGUCAAGGCAGGCAAGUGGGAUGUGAUGCACCAUUCAAACAAAUGUGACCCCAGCUGUUGCGACAGCACUUGGGCAACUGGUGCUCUUUGGAAACAUGCUGUGGCAGUGUCAACAGGAAUUCAAUGCUAGUAAAGUUUUUCACACAUAUUGGUUUUAUGAUAAAUGUGUUUAAAACAUCUCCCAUUCUGAAUUGCUACCAUCAAGAUAUAGCUGAAGUGAAGAUUAUUGUUUUGCUUAAGAUUUGGCAUCAUGGUCCUCCUCUUCAGAAAAGAUCUACAGUUUACCACUGAGCAAUGUGAGGGUUAGAGGUGGUGGAAAAUUCAGGCUCAUCAAACUUAAAUUCUGUAUCAGUACUCUCACCAGGAGCUUUUCCAAUUGAGUAUCAUAUUCUGUAAUAUUUUAAGCCAUCAAAAAAAA